rnacentral:rRNA from 1 species
AUGUAUAAUACAAAGAAAAAAUUGAAGUAUGCCGUGAUAAAGUGGGCUAUGUCUACGCAGAGGAUUUUCCGUACACACAUAUCAAGUCCAACAAACUAUAUCGUGAAAUGUGUUGAUACAAGUUGUCCUGGAAAGGUGCACGAGCACGUGCCAAAGUAUAACAUCCAUUGGGUUGUCAUCAAUGUCGUCUCGCAUAAUUGUGCGAGGAAAAACCUUUUGGUGAAACAUCCAAACCUGACUUCACCAUCACCGACGCAGGAGACACAAAUUGUGACAGACGAGGUUAUCUAUGGUCGUGGUGAUCGUGAGUCUCACCCGCCGCCUCAACGCUUAUCACCUUUCGGUCCUCGUCCGAGGAGGACCCAGAUUCGUUGUCGUCCCCAACAGUGA